rnacentral:rRNA from 1 species
AGCGACUGUGCAGGUUACCGCGGCUGCUGGCACGGAGUUAGCCGGUGCUUCUUCUGUGAGUGAUGUCCUUCCUGCCGGCUAUUAACCCGCAGGCCUUCUUCCUCACUGAAAGUGCUUUACAACCCGAAGGCCUUCUUCACACACGCGGCAUGGCUGGAUCAGGGUUGCCCCAUUGUCCAAUAUUCCCCACUGCUGCCUCCCGUAGGAGUCUGGGCCGUGUCUCAGUCCCAGUGUGGCUGAUCAUCCUCUCAGACCAGCUACGGAUCGUCGCCUUGGUGAGCCGUUACCUCACCAACCAGCUAAUCCGACAUAGGCUCAUCCGAUAGCGCGAGGCCCGAAGGUCCCCCGCUUUCCCCCGUAGGCGUAUGCGGUAUUAGCCUGGGUUUCCCCAGGUUAUCCCCCACUACCGGGCAGAUUCCUAUGCAUUACUCACCCGUCCGCCGCUCGCCACCAGGGAGCAAGCUCCCCGUGCCUGCCGCUCGCUUGCAUGUGUUAGGCCUGCCGCCAGCGUUCAAU